rnacentral:lncRNA from 1 species
GGAAAACGUGUUGCGCAUCUCUAGUUUGAUAUGAGCUUUAGUAUCUCCCCACUACAGUGCGAGAAAAGUCAGGGCAAAGGAUUGAAAAGAAGUUCACAACAAAAAAGUUUGAACACAAGCAAACCUGAAACAGAUGCAGGGUAGUAGAUCUUAAGGGUGCGUUGCUCACUCCAGGGCCUGCUGCCACCCAGAUGGCUGGCAAACACCAGGACUCCGAACACAACAGGAUUCAGGGAUUCAGACAGGAGUCUUGCUCUACCAAUUAUUAUAGGAUCUUAGAUGCCUUUCCAGUAAAGCUAACAAAAAACAAAACAAAAUAAAACCAUAUCCAAAAUACUAAACAGCUGUCUCCAAGAUCAGAAGGCAUCAGAAAAGACCCUCAAGAGUUGUCUAAUCCCAGAGGAAGAUCUUAAGUGGGGAUGUGCUCACAGCAGAAACCUUGGAAAUUUCAGGGAGUGAAAUUUUAUUGUCAGAACUUUCAAUAAAAGUGUAGCCACAGAUCCUGGGAGCAUUAAAUAAAAAUUACCAACAAGCUGUCUUACCUGUGUGCACUCCACUGAAAGGAAGGGCAAACAUGAGCAAGGAGCUCUUGUACAUCAGUCAAAAUUCUGACAGCUACCCUGUGAAGUUUGACGGGCUGCCAUGUGCUAGACUACCUAAGAUACUCUUAACUGAACCAUAAAAAG